GACGGGGCCCGCACAAGCGGUGGAGCAUGUGGUUUAAUUCGACGCAACGCGAAGAACCUUACCAGGGCUUGACAUCCCCUGACCGCGUAUGAAAGUACGUUUUCACCCUCGGGUGACAGGGAGACAGGUGGUGCAUGGGUUGUCGUCAGCUCGUGUCGUGAGAUGUUGGGUUAAGUCCCGCAACGAGCGCAACCCCUACGUUUAGUUGCUAACAGGUGAAGCUGAGCACUCUAGACGAACUGCCGUUGACAAAACGGAGGAAGGUGGGAUGACGUCAAAUCAUCAUGCCCCUUAUGUUCUGGGCUACACACGUGCUACAAUGGCCGGUACAGACGGAGGCGAAGCCGCGAGGCGGAGCAAAUCCGAAAAAGCCGGUCUCAGUUCGGAUUGCAGGCUGCAAUUCGCCUGCAUGAAGUCGGAAUCGCUAGUAAUCGCAGGUCAGCAUACUGCGGUGAAUACGUUCCCGGGUCUU
rnacentral:rRNA from 1 species